CCAAUGUGGGGUUUGAACUCAUGACCCUGAGAUCAAGAGUCACAUGCUCUACCAAUCUGAAAAUUAGUUCUGAAAUCAGGUUGAAUCAUAUUUCAAAACAGGAGAAAUAUAAUACCACUCUACUCUUCUUCCAUCAACCCAAAUGGGUAUCUUUAUAAAGGUAGUAAACUUUUUGAAGCUGUUAUAUUAUCUUUUGUUAACACAAAGAAUCCAAUCUCUGGUUCUUGAAGGUAACUCUAAAUUGAAGGUUUCCUCUUGUUUGACAAAGCAUUUACCACUGUUUAGGAAAAUCUCACUCUACUAGUUCCAGGGCUCAGUUGUAGUUUUAUUUAGUACACUAGGUUUGUUUGUUUGUUUUUUAAGUCAACUCCUUGAUAAGGGGCUUACUCCCAUGAAGGACAAGCAGAGUCAAAAGCAACUACUAAGCAACUGUUAGCUGUAAAAACAGUUUUCUCACCAAGUUUAUGUAAGCUGGGAUUAAAAGUGGACAAAUUUUCGACUCCAAAAUCAGAGCAGCAUAUAAUUUUAACAAAGAAUUUUAUCCUGGGAUAUUUUUGCAAGAUAAUUUAUCCUUUCUGCUUUAUCAGGACCUUUGCAAGUCACUGUUUAAUGUCUUAAGAGUUAGGAGAAAUUUUGUGACUGUUUUUAAAACUUACUUUCUGGACAUUGAACGAAGAAUCUUUCGACUUUUGCUCAAGUUUUCACUUGUGUUUACCAGCUGAGAAGAGAAAAUAGCAAUUAUUUCCCCCUUUUAAAAGUACAUACUGUAGAACCUGAACAUUCAAACUCUACCAAACCAAUCUGAAUGAUGACCUCUGAGUAUAAGUAGAAGAAACUGGAAAGGAUAAGAUACUUAGGACACAACAAGCAGGCGCAGGGAUGAUUAUAUCCCAAGGUUACUGUGGGGACUCCUGGGGCCAAGCUAAUCCUUCACCUUGGCUACUCAAGGCAGAAAAAGGCUUCGUGUGUGCCUCACCAGUAACUGAAGCAACUUAAGAUUUGAAUUUCAUCAACCAAACUCCAGGAGGGACUCUUGGGUUAGUUUGGUAAUUCACCAGCCUACAAAAACACUUUUGGGAUCUGAUUUUUUUUUUUAACCCCUUUUACAGAUGCACUGAAUUAUGAAAGGAAUUAAUCUUUUAAAAGCCUUUAAAAAAAUCAUUUCCUUUUGGUUGCCUGUUAAUAAUCAAGAUAGCUGGAGGAUAUUUUAACAGAUGCCACCUGCCAUCUGUUCCCAUUCCCCAGUGGACAUGGGCGACAAACCAACUAGAUUCCACAGUCCUAGAUGAAGAUUCUCACCUGACUGGUACUGAGGACGGAUGCACCAUGAAUAAACUAUCCGUUUUUAGCACA